CACCAGACCCCCCAAAUCUCUCCUCCAUCCCCUUUCUUUCUCUCUCCCGACGCAUCUCGCCGGUCGCGCAGCUCCGGCCCCUCUGCCUCACGCCCAGGAACCACAUCGCUCCACGAACCACGACACCAUGCCGGCGUGUGCGUGCAUCGGUUGUAUGUGCGCGGCGAUCCGUCAAGCUUGCCUGCCCGCAUGUUGGCCGGCGGAGGGGGGAGCCGACCAGGGUCCUACGCUGCUGACCGUCCCGGUUUUCUUCGCCGAUCUAGAUCCCAGCCCCCCGCGCACGCGACCACUGUCGUGAGGAGGCCGAGGCCGACAAGGCAGGGUCUCACCCACCAUCGUGACCUUCACAUCCAAAGUGUUCUCUUGUGGAGGAGCAGGGGUCGUGCUGGGAAGGAUAGCGCUGAGGAGAAGCCCCUCCAGUGAUUUCAUGGGUUGCGGUUCGGCCGAUGAGUUGGUAGAGCAGGAGCAGGGGUUCGGGGGUGCCCUCCGCACCGACAUUGUUAGCAUCCUCUCCCCCCCCUAUGGAUGUGCUUGCUCACUCACUGUAGUCAGUUUAGUCGGACUGUAAAGAACUUGUAGCUGGAGUAUAAUUUGAAAAUUUCAUUCUGCUCUAGCUUUACAUCAAAUUUAUCUUGUGGACAGAGAAAAUGCCAUGCUGCUCUAGUAGAUGAUGCAACAAUAUGAAAAAUAAGGAAUCUGCAGGAAAAGGAACAACCUUUUCUCUUUACCCCUACUUUUCUACAUACAUUAUUUGUAAACUUGCUUAUUAUUGUUUCACUAAUUAUUGCUCUUGCCCUGCUCUCCUAGUUGUUAUAGGCAGCAAGAUGUCCAUGCAACUGAGAUUGCAAACCUAAAAGUAUAAAGCUCUCUCUUGGUGAUGCAAGGGCACAUUAACUUUCAAAUGAUAAGAAUGAACUGGGGGUUGUUUCUGCCCAAAGUAUAGCUGCUGAUCCGUAGGCUGAGGAGGAAGAAGAUGGUUCUGCACUUGAAGAUCUAGAGGCAAGAGGAGGAAGAAGAUGGCGCAACACUUGAUACGGAGGCGGAGGAGUAAGAAGAUGAGGCAUCCAUCACUAGUGCGGAGGAGACGGGAGCGGAGUCGUUGUCGCGUGUUUUGGAUCUUGCUCAGAGGCAGAGGAUGAAUCGAGGCGCUGGGGAGGAGCUGGCCUUGCUCGGAGAAGAGGCUCUUCCUCCGGCAGGCAAGUUGCUGGCUUGCUGCUGAGGGCAAUCUGGAGCGAGCUGGAGCUGCUGCUGAGGGCGAUCUAGAGCUGUUGCUGACUGCUGAGGGCAACCUCGGGAGACAAUCUGAGAGGCGACCGAAGCGAGAGGUGCAAGGCGAGCGAUCUGGAGAUAUGCGAGGCGAGCGAUCUGAAGGGUGUAUGGAGCGGCUGAUGGGCCAAGGCCCAAAGCAUACCUAGUUUUCUUUUUUUAUUUUUAUUUGGCACUACCCAAUGAACCGGACGUACGGGAAACAGAACGAAACGUAUAAAAAAGACGUGAUGGACGAAAAAAGGUGGAGAAACAAUCCUCCCUUUAAUAUUAGGUAGAGAUAAGGACCCAUGUUUAGUUUGCUAGCUGCUGCCUUUCUUUACCAAACUCUAGUGAAUUGUGCUAUCUACUUUUACCAUGCAAUCUUCUGUUAUAGUGUAUAUGUUCUAUAUGUCGUGCAA